AGAACAAUGAUCCCAGUGCAAGCACAUAUAUGACUCUAGAUCUCAAGUCCAGUUCUUCUGAUGUGUACAACACACUCACAUCUGUCCAUCCCAGACCCGCUGUUCAUCAGUCGAGCUCUUCUGAAUAUAGAAAUCAGUCAGUUUGCAGCAACAACCAAAACAUCCUGUUUUAACUGAAUUAGUUACACAUAACACUGACAGGCAUUUCACAUAGUUCAUGCAUACCAUAAAUGCUAUAAUACUCUCCGACUGUCAUUACAAACACAGGCAUCAUUUUGAUGAUUUCGAUUAGUGACGUAUGUUGAGACACUGUCAGUGGGCUCUGAUUCAUUGCAGAGGUUGGGAUUCUGGAUGGGGUUAUUUCCUGUGCUACCCACCUCUACUGCCCACUAGAUCCUGUCAGUUCUCUUUUUGACAAUAAACUGAAGUUCAAAAAAAAUCUCUCAAGGGUGUUGAAGAAUAAGCUGUCUGUCUGUGGUCAAAGUGAUGAAAUAUAAUCUUACACAAUAUAUGUUUCAAAUUCUUCUGAAAAUGUUUCCAGGAAGAAACGAUGGCCACUAUAAAAAAACAAAAACCAAAAAAAAAAAAAAAACUUUAUUUUUGUUUAAUUUAUACCUGAACAUCUCUUCAAUGCAAAAACAAGUGAAAUUGUGAAAACGCCCUACUAGGCUGUAUGUCAAUAAAUCUCUGAUUCACUGAUCAAUCAAUGUGAUGGACAGAUUUCUUUAUUUUUUAAGCAUUUUGGCAUUUAUAAAUAAAUGCCAUUAGAUCAUGGUAUGUUGUCUAUAGUUGCUUAUGUGGGCAGCACCCACGAAAGAGGAAGAAACAUUUCUGUCUGCA